AGAGUGAGUUUGGAGUGAUCGCUGGCUAUUUUUAAAUAGUUAGAGGAAAGUCCGAGCACCAUGAGAAAGCAUAGCCGGUAACGCCGAGCCACAAUAUGUGAAAGCAUAUUGGAGGGACAGUGCCACAGAGACAAAUACUACCCGUCACCAUAAAUAUGAUGGGGAAAGGUGAAAAGCCCGCCCAAGGCGGGACACUCCGUUUUCAAUGGAGAGUGGGUAAACCCUAUGCGGUGCAAGGUGAGAUGGAAGAUUUUAGUUUCUACUCAAAUGUAACUAACAUCUCUCACUGCUUAGAUAGAUGAUCACACUCGCCAAUGGCGAGAACAAAACUCGGCUUAUGAAAAACUCACUCUAAAA
rnacentral:RNase_P_RNA from 1 species